AGUGAACGCUGGCGGUAGGCCUAACACAUGCAAGUCGAACGGCAGCACAGUAAGAGCUUGCUCUUACGGGUGGCGAGUGGCGGACGGGUGAGGCAUACAUCGGAAUCUACUUUUUCGUGGGGGAUAACGUAGGGAAACUUACGCUAAUACCGCAUACGACCUACGGCUGAAAGCAGGGGAUCUUCGGACCUUGCGCGAUUGAAUGAGCCGAUGUCGGGUUAGCUAGUUGGCGGGGUAAAGGCCCACCAAGGCGACGAUCCGUAGCUGGUCUGAGAGGAUGAUCGGCCACACUGGAACUGAGACACGGUCCAGACUCCUACGGGAGGCAGCAGUGGGGAAUAUUGGACAAUGGGCGCAAGCCUGAUCCAGCCAUACCGCGUGGGUGAAGAAGGCCUUCGGGUUGUAAAGCCCUUUUGUUGGGAAAGAAAAGCAGCAGGUUAAUACCCCGCUGUUCUGACGGUACCCAAAGAAUAAGCACCGGCUAACUUCGUG
rnacentral:rRNA from 1 species